AGUGAACGCUGGCGGUAGGCCUAACACAUGCAAGUCGAACGGCAGCACAGUAAGAGCUUGCUCUUACGGGUGGCGAGUGGCGGACGGGUGAGGAAUACAUCGGAAUCUACUUUUUCGUGGGGGAUAACGUAGGGAAACUUACGCUAAUACCGCAUACGACCUACGGGUGAAAGCAGGGGAUCUUCGGACCUUGCGCGAUUGAAUGAGCCGAUGUCGGAUUAGCUAGUUGGCGGGGUAAAGGCCCACCAAGGCGACGAUCCGUAGCUGGUCUGAGAGGAUGAUAAGCCACACUGGAACGGAGACACGGUCCAGACUACUACGGGAGGCAGCAGUGGGGAAUAUUGGACAAUGGGCGCAAGCAUGAUACAGCCAUACCGCGUGGGUGAAGAAGGCCUUCGGGUUGUAAAGCCCUUUUGUUGGGAAAGAAAAGCAGCAGGUUAAUACCCCGCUGUUCUGACGGUACCCAAAGAAUAAGCACCGGCUAACUUCGUG
rnacentral:rRNA from 1 species